rnacentral:rRNA from 1 species
ACGGGUAACGGGGAAUCAGGGUUCGAUUCCGGAGAGGGAGCCUGAGAAACAGCUACCACAUCCAAGGAAGGCAGCAGGCACGCAAAUUACCCACUCCCGGCACGGGGAGGUAGUGACAAAAAAUAACGAUACGGGACUCAUCCGAGGCCCCGUAAUCGGAAUGAGUACACUUUAAAUCCUUUCAUGAGGAUCCAUUGGAGGGCAAGCCUGGUGCCAGCAGCCGCGGUAAUUCCAGCUCCAAUAGCGUAUAUUAAAGUUGUUGCGGUUAAAAAGCUCGUAGUUGGUUCUGUGUGCCAUGCUGUUGGUUCACCGCCUGUCGGUGCAACUAACAUGUCAUGGAACGUCUUGUCGGUGGUAAUUAAAGACUUAUUUGUUAGUACAAGUUUUACUUGAACUAAUAGUAAGUUCCUUUAAUUACCGAUUAGUUCCUACCGCGGUGCUCUUCAUUGAGUGUCGAGGUCGGCCGACAAGUUUACUUUGAACAAAUUAGAGUGCUUAAAGCAGGCAAAAGUCUGCCUUGAAUAGUAGUGCAUGGAAUAAUAGAAUAGGACCUUGGUUCUAUUUUGUUGGUUUUCUGAAUCCAAGGUAAUGAUCAAUAUGGACAGGCGGGGGCAUUCGUAUUGCGACGUUAGAGGUGAAAUUCUUGGAUCGUCGCAAGACGAACUAGAGCGAAAGCAUUUGCCAAGUAUGUCUUAAUUGAUCAAGAACGAAAGUUAGAGGUUCGAAGGCGAUCAGAUACCGCCCUAGUUCUAACCAUAAACGAUGCCAGCUAGCGAUCCGCCGAUGUUUUUCUCAUGACUCGACGGGCAGCUCCCCGGGAAACCAAAGCUUUUGGGUUCCGGGGGAAGUAUGGUUGCAAAGCUGAAACUUAAAGGAAUUGACGGAAGGGCACCACCAGGAGUGGAGCUUGCGGUUUAAUUUGACUCAACACGGGAAACCUUAUCAGGCCCAGACAUUGGAAGGAUUGACAGAUUGAUAGCUCUUUCUUGAUUCAAUGGGUAGUGGUGCAUGGCCGUCCUUAGUUGGUGGAACGAUUUGUCUGGUUAAUUCCGAUAACGAACGAGACUCUAGCAUACUAACUAGACGAUUGGUAUUUUUGCUACCAACGUUUUUAUUCUUCUUAGAGGGACAGGCGGCUUUUAGCCGCACGAGAUUGAGCAAUAACAGGUCAGGGAUGCCCUGAGAUGUUCUGGGCCGCACGCGUGCUACACUGAAGGAAUCAGCGUGUGUCUCCCUAUCCGAAAGGACCGGGUAACCCGCUGAACCUCCUUCGUGCUAGGAAUUGGGGCUUGCAAUUAUUCCCCAUAAACGAGGAAUUCCCAGUAAACGUGAGUCAUAAGCUCGUGUUGAUUACGUC